GGCACACGGGCUUAGUUGCUCUGCGGCAUGUGGAAAUCUUCCUGGACCAGGGCUCAAACCCGUGUCCCCUGCAUUGGCAGGCAGAUUCUUAACCACUGUGCCACCAAGCCCCAAGCCCAAUGUCUUGAAUGUCUGCCUUUGCACUCUGACGGGCUGGCAUCAACAGGGUGCCUCUGAGGUGUGGCCUGUGCAGGGGUGAAGGUGGGUGAAGGCAGAGGAGAAAUAUGAGUGAAGCGGGGUGGGGACCCAGUACCUUCCUCCACCAUUGCAGGGUGGAGGAAGCAUCUAGCCCCAUAGGAAGCCACCAGAGAUUCAGCUGGGUGGGAGCGAGAAGGUGAAUUGAAAAGCAAGCGAGGAUGAGCACGAAGCCUCUCGAGCAGCCUGGGAGCUUCUGGACCCCAGACAUUGCACUGCCUUAGGCAGGUGUUAGGAACAUAAGGCUAAACUGAGGAGGCACAGGGGCUGAGGAGCAGCGUGAGCAGUCACUGUUGAACAGGUUACAGAGCCUCAGCAUCGUGGCGGAUUGUCUCCCGCCUUCAGGCUAGAUGGAGAAGCCAUUUGGAUCGUGUCCAAAUAUCCAUAUGCGGAGUGGACACUGGGGUCUUCAGAAGUUGCUCAGGGGAAUUCCCUGGCGGCCCAGCGGUUAGGACUCAGCGCUUUCACUGCCGUGGGCCCCGGGUUCGAUCCCUGGUCAGAGAACUAAGAUCUUGUGGGCUGGCGCAGCCAAAAAAAAAGAAGUUGCUCGGAAUCAAAAGGCAAGCAGGGCUAGUCUGGCUGCCAGCACUCCCACCACUUCUCAGCCCUGCCGUGCAGGCUGUUUCCACCCCAGCCCAGCUGGACUUGCCUGCCGGGCCUUCUCUGAUCCUGGUACUCAGGCUCUUGGACGAAGUACCACUUCCCACUGUGAAUGGUGAGCAGCGCUUCCUAACCACUCCCUCAGGGUGUAAAAUUUGCUGUGAAGUGAAGCGGAACGGAGCUGGUUCCAGCCUCGGAUGGAACCAAUCUCAGAGCCCGCUGCAGCUCAACAGGGAGUCUGCUCAUGUGCGCCGCAGAUGGUGAUGCCGCCAUGGAUGUGGCCCCCAGAGCCAGUCAUUAGGAAGAGCAAGUCCACCGCAGGGGGUGGGACUGAUGCCACCCAGGCAUCUCCUCCUGUGCUUGAGCCACAGCAGUUGGCUGCCAGGGAGACCCUGUGUCAUUGUAUAUUAGGGUGAUCCUGGGUUUCUGUGAAGUCAGCUAUCAGGUGCUCUUACCAGAACUGGCCUAAGCCACUGAUUACUAUUUAAUAGGGGGAGGAGGAGGAGAAUCUAGCCAUUCUGUGACACUGAAAAUCUGUAUUCAUUCUCUGAUGCCUUUUUCUGAAGUAGCCUCAGAUGUGGUCCCCUGCACUUCAGCAGUUAACAGAUGACUUUUUUUAAUGGAAUAAAAUGUUUGUCAUG
rnacentral:lncRNA from 1 species